UUCUUUAGUUUAAUUUUAAAAUUUAACUUUGAAAAGGUUAAGAUGAUUGGGACGAUG
rnacentral:tRNA from 1 species